UUUCCGUAGGUGAACCUGCGGAAGGAUCAUUAUUGUAUAACCGAGGUGCGAGGGCUGUCGCUGACCCGAAAGGGCGUGCACGCCAGAGUGCCCCCACACACAUCCAUCUCACCCCUAUGUGCACCACCGCGUGGGUCCCCCUUUGGCUUGUUCGGAGGGGGGCUUACGCUUUCACACAAACUUUGUAUGCAGUGUAGAAUGUAUUUUUUGUUUUUGCGAUCACGCAAUCAAUACAACUUUCAACAACGGAUCUCUUGGCUCUC
rnacentral:misc_RNA from 1 species